CCGCUUUCCGCCCCGUUCUCCGUCUGAGCCCCGGAGUUGUAGCGUCAGUCGUCUCGGUCUCCGUCGCCGUCUCGACCGGCUACUGGAGCACAAGGACUUUCAACAAAAGCUCAUAACUCAGGACUUCUGACCUCCAACGAGGGAAAAACAAACAAACAAACAAACAAACAAAAACACAGAAAGUCUGGAAGUUCUCCCCAGACCUCCGGUGACAUCAUGCCAUCACGGACGCCGCUCACAUCGUCAACAGAGACACGUUAGUUGGUUACAUUCGUAACUCUUAAUGUUUUGAGAAGAAAACUACUUGGAUCGGCGAAAUCGCAGUUGAGCGAAACUGUUUCGCGCGGUCUUUCACAGUGAGGUUUGGUGAUCAAUUCAAUUCCAUUUUAUUCGUGUAGCGCUUUUAACGACGUACGUCGUCUCAAAGCA
ensembl:lncRNA